CGGGGAUCAUGUCGACAGAAGAGUUCCGCGCGGAGACCGCGACGAGCAGAUGAACGCCAUGGACUACCGGAGGAAAAAGAAGUUCACCUUCUUCACCAUCGGCCUCAUAUUUCUGCUCAGCGGGGUGGAGUACGCUGUAAUAUUGCCCACAAUAUGGAGGUAUCUGCAGACGCUGGAGGCUGCGCCCUACUUCCUGGGUUUGGUCCUGUCGGCGUUCAGCCUGAGCGGCCUCCUGACCGGACCGCUGUUCGGCUACUGGUCGGACCAAUCGGGGGCCACCAAGAAGAUCAUCUUAUUUGCCAACUGUUUUGAGAUGAUUGGUAAUUUCAUGUACUUUAUGGGCUACUCCAAGUGGCUGUUACUGUCAAGCAGACUGGUGGCAGGUAUCGGCACCGGUGCUGGCUCAUCUAUCUUUGGCUUCCUGACCAGAAGCACUUCCCCCAAGGACCGCGCCACAGCAUUUGCUGCUGUCAUGGCAUGUCGGCAGGCUGGCCUUUUGAUUGGUCCAGCGUUUAACAUCUUCCUGAGGCUGUGUGAUUUCAACGUGGGUCCUUUUGUCGUCAAUAAAUAUACUGCGCCAGGGUUGUUCAUGUGCCUCAUGUGGACUCUCCUUCAAGUGGCGGUGAUCCUCAUGUACUGGGACCUACCGCCUCUGGAGAAGGGAAAGGCCAGGCAGAGUCUGACGGGACAGCGCAGGGAGGAGGGGAAUGACCAAGGGGUCGUGGAAGAGGAGGAGGAGGACGACGACGGCGACGAGGAAAAGCCGCUAAUGGCGUCGCAGGAGGCGGGGGGCUCCUACGGCGCAGUGGUGGCAUCCAAGCCACCCGGACGCGACUCCUCCGGCGCCUCAAAUGCCACGUUAAGCUCUCCGCCUCCCUCCGCCGAGCCACCCGAGUCCCAGGCGCCCUGUGGCUCCGUUAAGACUGUCAGCCGAUACCGUGAGUUCCUGAGGGAAGAAGUGGUUGUGCUGCUGGCUGCUCAGUUCAUCACGCUCUUCAAUCAGACCGCUCUGGAGACCAUGGUGACUCCGAUGACCCAGAGGUACUUCAGCUAUGGGGAGCUAGAGAACAGCGUCAUGUACUGUCUGUGCGGCGUGGAGGUGAUCGCUGGCUUCCUGUUUGUGCGCUGGCUGAGUCAGCGCGUUGCUGACCGAGUGGUCCUGGCCAUCGGUCUGACCAUUUGCAACAUCUCCGGUGUCUGGUGCCUCGUCUUCUUGGCUAACCCGCUAGGUCAGUUCCCAUGGCAGCUAACUGAGUUCAUCAUUGGGGUGUUUCUGCAGGUUUUGGGUUUGCCUUUUGUAGCAGUUGCUCAAGUUUCCCUCUUCUCCAAAAUUACCUCUGAGAAAACACAAGGUUUCAGUCAGGGAGUACGUCGCUCAGUGGGAGGUCUGGCCACCAUUCUGGGCCCUCUUUGGGCUGGUGGCCUUACAGAGAACAUGUAUAUCAUGCUCGGGAUGAUGAUGGCACUGCUGGCACUGCUAACGAUGAUGCUGGCUUUCUCAUAUAGCCGUCUAGUUCCACCGGCUACAGAGGAGGAAGUGGAGGCCCCGGACAACUGUGGCUGAGCCGAUGCAAUAAAAGUGGAUAUGGAAGACAUUUUUUUUUUGCCCCCCCCUUUUUUUGUUGCUCCCUCUCUUAUUUUUCUCCAUUUAUUCAGUUUCUCUAACAAAAGCCAAGUCCGGGAAGCACACGCUCGGACCGCCGCUAAUUGGUAUCAGAUCUGCGGGGUUUGUAUCAGCACCACGCUGGCCGAAGCCAAAACUUUGCUCUCAUCUGCAUCGAGUGUGGGUCGCUGAGAGCCCAGGUGUGUCCCGUGUCACCCUCUUGCCGCUUAUCUAACGUCUCCCGACACUGUCACACAGGAAACCACCUUGGGGACCAAACGUUGGAGAAUGUUAAGCACCAUAUAAUGGGGGAAGACUUAGAAGUGACUUUCAAGUAAACGGGGGAAAUUGAAUCGGGUUGGGUGAACUGAUGGAUGCUUAAAUAUUGCCUAUUGCAAGAAAGAAAGGACACCUUUUUCAUAUUUAAUUUCCAUCCUCACAUUUGGCAAAAAAAACAGCCUAUGAAAUAGCGAAAGCCAGAGCAGAUAUCAGGCAUAAGGUUAUACUUCCAGCAGUGACUGAUUGGCCAGCUCUUUGCUGCUGGCCUUUUAUUCCAACUCUCCAUCAGAUAACAGGAACUUUGAUUGGAACUGCUUCCAUGUUGUGUGACAGAAGGUGAGUUAGUAAAAAAGGACUUCAACAAUCAUGACAAAUCAACAUUCAUGCACUAAUUAAAAUAAAGGGAGGUCAGAAAGAGUGCUAUGGCACUUUACUUUUGAAAGCUCUUUGUGGAAACACAAUCCUUCCAUUUGUAAGUUGGGAGUCACCUUAUCCUCGCUCUGUGCCCCGUGGCAGCCCUCGUGCACUCUGAACGUCUUCCAAGCACAACAAUCAGGGACACAGCAUGAGCAAAAAACUGAUAUAUUAAAUGUAAUCUCUGUAAUCUUUUUUUCUUUCUUGCCACUCCUUUGCUUACAAUUGUAAGUCUCUCCCUCUCCCCUGCUGACACUGGCACAUCCAAUCAAAUUGGAUGGAUGGGAAUGGAAUUGCCGUUUUGGAGCCAUGUGUCCCUAAAUUCAUUGAAGAUAGAGAACAUAGACGGGAGUUCAAAGCGACUCCCUCACCCCCUUUUGCUUCUCGUAAUCCCGGCUAGAAACCGAAGGAAGGAAGAAAGGCAAGUGUGUGUCGCCGCGAAGACGUAACAAUAACAAAAAGAAGAAGAAAAAAAACCCUGCUUGAAACACCAAAACCCCUUCAUAAUUGAGGCAACGGAGGGAGGGCCUUUUUGGAACAAGUGACAAGUGGUGUGUGUUUGCAUCUGUGUGCACGGACAGCCCACCGCUCAUGGGUAACAGAUGGCGCCUUAUCAUUGGCCGGGAUCGGCGGCACAGCGCGCAUUCCUAGACGUGCUAGUAAUGCCUUUUUGUGCUGUUUGACUUUUGCUAACUUCACAUCGAAUUACACACCAAAUUACCAUCAUUACAAUAUAAAAUUAUAUUAUUGCGCACACUGGGUGGCAUUGGUGGAGAUAAUUAUUACCCAUUGAUUGAAAAAGCUAUUAUUCCUGUGCCGAUGGUGGGUUUCGGGACAGAGGAUGUCGUUUGUGUACAGACGGUAAAGCCCUCACAGGCAAAUUUGUAAUUUGCGAUUUUGGGCUAUACAAAAUAAAAUGAAUUUAAUUAAAACAC